CUACUGCAUCAACACUUUUCCAGCUGCAUGCAUCCAGCAUUAACUACCAAAUAUAGAUUUCAAUUUGCUAUAAUUACAGAUGAGAGUAUAUAAGAGAUCUGGAUGCAUAAAGUUAGUCCUCUGCACUGCCCUGAGUCAAAAUGUAACCAGUCUGAGCAAACUGACGGAUCUUUAUCGGAUUAAAACCAAGUGAAAUGCAGGCUUGAAGUCAGCCAGCCACAGAACCUGUGUAAUGUAUGAGUAUCCGGGUUUAAAAGGAUAGUAUGGGGCAAGCUUUUUGGAAACUGUCACAGCAUUAUCAAGGAUCUUGACAACAUAGCAGCAGGUUAAGAAAAAUCCACACAGACAGGAGGAUCUUCUGCUCAGAUCUUAGCAUCAGAAGACCCACCAGAUCUGAGAAUUUGUCUGUGUUACAGCAUCCUAGAUUGUAGACAGCCCCUGAAACAGGAGAAGGCAAUGAAAGCAGUGCUGAGGACAGUAGAGGACCCCUCCAGUGGGAGACUUCACACACCGGCUACAAUGAUUGACCUUCUACAAUUUGCAAUGCAACAGCUAAAAUGUUUUGCACCUCGGUACGUCUGCUUUCUUGCUAGUGUUAAUGAUGAUACAUUCAUUUGUGACACUGCAUAUGCAGUCAGGGGCGCCAGAAUGUUUUGAGGUUGGUGGGGGCACAGAAAAGCAUACAUAUUGGUGUUCUUCCCAAUCCCCAUCCCCUGUGCGGGGGAGAGCGCUUACCUCUGAUACCCGUGGGGACUUGUCCUUUUAAACAGUCUGCUCUGCUGCCGCACAGCCGCAGCGUGCUAUGCUGUGCGCAUUCCAAGCUCUUCACUGAUGCAUUACUGGGAGAAGGCGUGGCCAUGCUGAGCCUGCUGGAACAUCCAUGCCUCCUCCCAGUAAUGCACCAGGAAGAGUCGGCUUGGACAGCGCACAACAUAGCACGCUGCGGCUGUGUGGCAGCAGACUGUUUAAAGGACAAGUCACCGCGGGUAUUGGAGGUAAGCGCUCCCCACCUGCGCCUCUGUCAUAUUUGGGGGGGCAUUCUGCCCCCAUGUCCCCCUAUUCUGAUGCCACUGUAUGCAGUGUUACAGAGGGAUGUGCCUGUUACAGUAAUGUAGUUUUUAAAGUACUUAAUAACUGGUAUUGCUUACGUGGCAUUAUAAUAUGUGGUCCGUAAGAUAAACUUUGCUUCUUCUUUUACCUCAUACCUCCUAUAGUCUGUACACUUGCACAUCCUGGCACAGAGCAACGUUGCCCACAUUAUGUACUUCAUUCACACCUUGGUGAACAUGGUCUGUGGAUGCAAACCCACUGUGCCCAAUAUUACACCUGGUUUAUCACCAGAGAACAACUUUAUGAUGAACAUUUAAACAGUUUUAUAUCCUUCUUGCUUAAAGUAUACUGUAAAGUUUUAAAUAAAUACAUGUCUGAAA